AGGGAAUGUCUCCUCACCUUUAUCUAUGGAGGCACUCGACUAUGCUGUGGGUUCAUCACCUUAGAUACAAUGUUAUCAGUGGUAUAGUGUGAGGGUGGGUUGAAUGCCCU
rfam:Bacillus sp. TS-2 DNA, contig: BspTS2nb11.